rnacentral:rRNA from 1 species
UACAGAGGUGUCAAACGUUGUCCGGAAUUAUUGGGCGUAAAGGGCGCGUAGGCGGCCGGGUAAGUGAGAUGUGAAAGCUCUGGGCUCAACCCAGGAAUUGCAUUUCAUACUGCUCGGCUUGAGAUUGGUAGAGGAUGGCGGAAUUCCAGGUGUAGCGGUGAAAUGCGUAGAUAUCUGGAGGAACACCUGUGGCGAAGGCGGCUAUCUGGGCAGUAACUGACGCUGAGGAGCGAAAGCGUGGGGAGCGAACAGG